AUGUGAAAAAGUGGUAUUUUAUCUUCAGCUAAAUAUGGUUGUCACUCCUCUAUUGAGUGUUUAAUAAUGUUCUGUGCAUCAGGGUUGUGCUCCAUUCAGAACUGAAUUAUAAAUGCCUUUUAAAUUCCAGUUCUUCAAUUUGACAAGUUGAAAAAGUGGAUGAAGACUUCAUUUUCCAGAAUGCAUUUACUGUUCUGAAUUCCUUUAAAUUCCACUUCCUGUCAUUCCAACUCAACUUCCUGUGUGUAAUGGCCUAUUCAAAUCCACACUGAAAUUAAAGGCCAGUUCUUAACCUAAAAGCCAGUUCUUCAAUACUGAAUUAUACUCAAUCCUGCUGUACACAGAGUUCAGUUGCAUUAAAUCUGUGUGUACAGAGCCGAACUGAACAAUAGGCUACAUUAAUGCAGUGAUGCCACUCUCUUCUGAACACUAACAGCUUGUCAAAGUAAAUCACAUGAACAGAGGUAUGUGUCUUGAUUCAUUCACAGAUUCUCACACCAGUCAGUCUCUCUCUCUCACUGGUAGUUCCUCCCAUCAGACCUGUGGUCUAGCAUUAACUCAUAGAUUUAGGGUGUUUGUGUCAUUUGCACAUUUAACGAUUAUGCGGAACUGUGCUUUGCAACACAGUCAUGUGUAAUGGUUCAGGAGGGAUAUUAUGGAUCGGGUUAGUCUACUCAUCACACUCUCAUUUUCACAUACUACACACUAGGGGGCAGUAUGGAGUUUACCUCCUGGUACACAGGUAAAGGUGGUGGUGGUGGGGGAGGGAAGGAGGAGUGCAAAAGGAUGAAGUAAGUUCGGGGCGUAGUUCAGGUCACCACAUCAUUGGACUGUAAUCAUCAAUGAAACCCUUUCGGAAUGAUGACUACAAGAGGGAGCUAAGCAAGCCGUCCCAAAAAAGAAGAAGAAGAAAACAAAGAUACCAAACUUUGAGUUCAUAUUACUUCACUCUUCCAACAAGGACACUUGACAUUGGGGUAAAUAUAACUCUUUCAGUUUUCAUUUAUGUUUGCAUUUAUUUAUUCAGCAUUCAUUUUAGCCAAAGUGGAAUUGGCUAUAAUGAAAUUACUGUUUAUCAAAUAUUACAAACCGAAGAAUUACACACAUUUACAGCUGAAUCAAAAAGCUUUCUUAAGUAA
ensembl:lncRNA